CAUCCCGAACACGGAAGUUAAGCUCAUUAGCGCCGAUGAUACUUGGCGGGCAGCCGCCCGGGAAAGCAGGACGCCGCCGACU
rnacentral:rRNA from 1 species